GCAAGUCGAGCGGAUGAGAAGAGCCUGCUCUUCGAUUCAGCGGCGGACGGGUGAGUAAUACCUAGGAAUCUGCCUGGUAGUGGGGGACAACGUUUCGAAAGGAACGCUAAUACCGCAUACGUCCUACGGGAGAAAGCAGGGGACCCUCGGGCCAUGCGCUAUCAGAUGAGCCUAGGUCGGAUUAGCUAGUUGGUGAGGUAAUGGCUCACCAAGGCUACGAUCCGUAACUGGUCUGAGAGGAUGAUCAGUCACACUGGAACUGAGACACGGUCCAGACUCCUACGGGAGGCAGCAGUGGGGAAUAUUGGACAAUGGGCGAAAGCCUGAUCCAGCCAUGCCGCGUGUGUGAAGAAGGUCUUCGGAUUGUAAAGCACU
rnacentral:rRNA from 1 species